UUUAUUGUGGAUCAAAAAGCUCGAUUGGUGCUUUCGCAACGCCCUUGCAGCGGCAGUAUUCGCGGUAGAUCACCUUCGUGAGUAUCGCUUUCAGUGAGCAUUCAUUUGGACAAAUGCGCAGACAGGAUGCAUCUCGAGUCAGUGAGGGUAUACCGCGUGAGACGUUACGUCAUGAAAAACGCUAAAUUAUCGCCGAACGUGAACAAUUUGACAAUGCGGCACCCACCAGUGUUAAGACUCGACACCAAACCAUUUAAACCAACUAAAGCGGAGAUUCUGCUGCGGCCUUCCAAAGCUGGCGCAUGAAAUCAUGCGGUCCCCCAGAAACAGUAACCAGCGAUCCAUGUGUGCACGGACGGCACAACCUUACGCAUAAAGGAAAAAGUAAAUAAGUAAGAAAGAAAGAAACAAACGAAGAAUGCCAGCUCGCGUCCUGCAGGCGCCAACGUAAGCAGGUUGCCUUAUAUAAUCGAAACAUCCAUGCGCACUCGCGAACACGGCACUGAGACAGGCCUCGAUGGUGCGGAGAAUAGAAGAAACAAAAACAGAGCUACGCUGGCUGCAAAACGAAAAGGCGCGAGGAAGGCGGCGAAGCGAUGACGUCCACAAUCCUUCGUUCGCAGGCAGUUUCAGUCGAGGAACUGCGGUUUUCAGUGACCACACUCUGCGUUUUGCCAGUCGGUUAAGGGAUCCUCAGGUGGCACUUCAAUACCAACCUCGUAUUAUUUAAAGCACUGUAAAUUAUCUGCAAGGGACAGCCGCGUUAACUCUACAUUGGACAUGCUCUACGUCAACUGCAUGCUGAUAUCUAUUCCUUGCUUCCUCACAGAUCAGUAUCCCUGCAUAAAGAAAGCGAAAAAAAAAGAAAACGGCGCUUCUCACCACGAGGAAUGUAAUGCGUUCGGACGCUUACGUGGUCGGAUUAUAUAGCAGCUGAAACAAGUGCUCCAGAGGCGAAGCAUCUACAAGACAAGACAACAUGGCUUUCCGUGCCGUAGCAUCUGGCCUUCCAGCAGUACAAGCAUGCUGCUUUAAGACUGGUACAUUUUCCUCUGUUAUAGGCUGCCUUCUAGCCUGUACUAAAGCGACAUAAUAAACGCCAUUAACUCACUGUGUCGA
rnacentral:lncRNA from 1 species